rnacentral:rRNA from 1 species
UACAGAGGGGGCAAGCGUUGUUCGGAAUUACUGGGCGUAAAGGGCGCGUAGGCGGCCUGCUAAGUCGAACGUGAAAUCCCUGGGCUCAACCCAGGAACUGCGUCCGAUACUGGUUGGCUUGAAUCCGGGAGAGGGACGUGGAAUUCCAGGUGUAGCGGUGAAGUGCGUAGAUAUCUGGAGGAACACCGGUGGCGAAGGCGACGUCCUGGACCGGGAUUGACGCUGAGGCGCGAAAGCCAGGGGAGCAAACGGG